CAGCUGCUGGAGGCGGCCUUUUCAAAAGGCCUCAGCUGCUCUGACAAAAGCCAGAGGCAGGAGGGCGGGACUGACAGCCGUCCCAGGGCCCGGGCUGACCGUUCGAUGGACAUGAAAAGAUGCUGCUGGCCCUUCAGGGAAGGGGGUGGGCAGGAACGGACACGAGACCUGCGUGAGAUGGAGGCGAGACGCGGCCGGGCUCGCCGUGGCCUGGCCGACAGAAGGGUCCCACCCAGUGGGGCUCCCCGCUCCCCAGCCCCAGGGACGGGCCGAGGGGCAGGGACACCUUGCAUUCGAAAACAAACCUUUUUCCCUUUUCCUGUUUUCUCAGUGUCAGGAGAGAGAUUUUCCAAGCCUUAAUUCCACGUGUGUAUAAAGGUGGCCUCCCUUUGGCCUGUGGGGCCUCCAGACACAGGCUGGUCCCCAUUCCCGGCAGCUCGGAGGGGCAGAGGGGCGUCAGGGGGUGGCCGGGAGGAGAGGGUGCGUGCGGGUGUGGGGUGCUGGCCGGAGGGCAGGCAUCCAUGGUCUCUGCUGUUUCAGAAGUGAGGUCCCCUCCCUCAAGGCACCCCUCCUGCCUUCCGCCAGUGUCCCAGGAAAGUUGGUCCCUGGACACCCCACUAUCAGCCCCCAGGUCCCCAAUGCCAACGUGCUCAGUCCCCCUCCCACUCAAGGCCCUCCCUCCUCCUCUCCCCAGGCCAGGCAGUGGUCAGGUCAUCCCUCCGAGGCUGGGAAGGCACCGGGGGCAGUAGGGGGCCCAGUCCAUGGGGCUGUGUGUAAGGGAGGGCCUUGCAGGCCUGGGACCAGCCUGUGCGGAACAUUCCCCAGAGCGUUAAGCAGGCCUGGCCCGCCCAGCCCCAGGACGGAGUCCCUCUCCUGCUCCGGCUCUUGCACGACCAGCGCUCAGGCAGGGCUCACACGGGGGCUCACACGGGGACUCAGAGCCCAGGCCCUGCCUGAUUCGCCGCGCAUCGUCCCACCGCUGUAGGCGCAGAAGUUCGUGGAGACCUGGCCCAGCCAGCGCCCUGGGGCCCGCCCUCAUCUUUUCUGCCCUAAGCACCCCAACAUCUUCCCAGCGUUGUGUCUGAGAGCGGGACUGGGAUGUCUGCUGCCUCACGUCCCCCCAAGCCAGGGAGGGGUCUAAAGCCGGGUCCACUCUGAAACCCCACUCCUGCCCGAUCCAACUCCCCCGCAGCUGGCCACGUAACCACGAGAGGGAGGAUGUCCCAGGCCCCCACCCCACCCCACCCCGGAUGCAUGUGAGGACACAGGGCCCAUGAAGACAAGCUGGGACCUGGGUGGGCCACCACUUCUGUCUGAAUCUGCCUUCGGGGGGUGGCCCGCCGGACCCUGCAGCCUCUAACCAGCCAGGGCAACCUUGCUGGCCUCGGCGGGGACGGGUGCAUUUUGUGGCAUUUAAAGCAGGUUUAAAGCAAAAAAAAAAAAAAAGCCCACGACAUGUCUUUGGUUAAGUGGUUUACCCUCCGUGGUAAUUAGAUGUAGCGAUUGGACUCUCUUUUCUAUUACAUGGCAAUUUUCCUUUAAAUUUCCCC